rnacentral:rRNA from 1 species
UACGGAGGGUGCAAGCGUUAUCCGGAUUUGCUGGGUUUAAAGGGUGCGUAGGUGGGCCUGUAAGUCAGUGGUGAAAUCUUCAAGCUUAACUUGGAAACUGCCAUUGAUACUAUAGGUCUUGAAUUAUCUGGAGGUAAGCGGAAUAUGUCAUGUAGCGGUGAAAUGCUUAGAGAUGACAUAGAACACCCAUUGCGAAGGCAGCUUACUACGGAUUGAUUGACACUGAGGCACGAAAGCGUGGGGAUCAAACAGG